rnacentral:lncRNA from 1 species
AAAGCGAAGAAUAAACAUUAGGCCGCGGCGAUUUAAUCCACUAACACAACUGGUUGCACAGGAAUGGUGGGUGCCGCGACUCCGCUUGGGCUGAGAGGGAGCGACGUGUUCAACUGAUGCCUCAGCUCGCCAGGGUCAAUGCCAGGACCUCUGAGGAAUGGGCAAGCUGGCGGGAAAAGGAAGGAGAACGAGGGCAAGGGGCCUAUGAGGUGAUGGACGGAGAAGUAGAAAGGAGAGGCAGAGUCCGGACACCGGGACGGGUGAAGCAUGGGAGACGUUGGCCUGGAUGGUGGUGCAUUGUUCCAGGGGGGGUUCUGUGGCUGGUGCUCCAGGAUGAGGCACCUCUUCACCCCUCUGUGGGGUUGUCUGAGGUGGGAGGCAGGUUGCUUCUUGCAGCUGCUGUGGUGUUUGUUCUUGGGCUGGUCCUUCUUCUCAUCAAAUUCUUCACAUACAUUCGGGAUCAAAGGAGGCAGGUUAGUCCCACAACUGACCUGGCCUAACCAUGUAAAAGUAUUUCCAGAAGAAAGUCAUAUUUGCCAGUUUGGCCAAGUCACAAAUCCUGCUUCAUAAAU